UACAGAGGUUCCAAGCGUUGUUCGGAUUCACUGGGCGUAAAGGGUGCGUAGGCGGUCGGGUAAGUCUGUCGUGAAAUUUCCGAGCCCAACUCGGAAACUGCGUCGGAUACUAUUCGGCUAGAGGAAUGGAGGGGAGACUGGAAUUCUCGGUGUAGCAGUGAAAUGCGUAGAUAUCGAGAGGAACACCAGUGGCGAAGGCGAGUUUCUGGACAUUUCCUGACGCUGAGGCACGAAAGCCAGGGGAGCAAAUGGG
rnacentral:rRNA from 1 species